UUAUUGUAUGUGGAAAGCUAAUCUGAAGAGGUGUGUUUUGAUUAGUGUUUAAAUGUGUCCAGGUCAGUACAGUCACGAAUGUGUACGGGUAGGGCGUUCCAGAGGGAGGGGGCUGCAAUGGUCUUUGAAAAAACACAUACUGGUUGUUUUGCAUGUGUUUACUCUAAACCCAAGGCCAAGAAAUAAUGAUUUUUUUUUACCUAAGUUUUUGUGCAGAUUAAACAAACGAGACAUAACGUGUUAAUUAGUGAGCUGUUUGGCAGAUUACCUCAGGACCGAGCCCUGUCUCCUGAGACCAGCUUCAUAUUUAGCGUACACACACAUAAGAGUGGUAUCGAUCAAUCAAUCAAUCAAUCAAUCAAUCAACAUGACACGAAUCAACACGAAUAAAACAUAACAUACAGUAAAAUCAGAAAAGGAUACAUUAAAGCAGGAGGAAGAAUGGAAAAUGUCACAGCGUGACUAUGUAUUAAAAGCCAUUGUAAAAUUCUACGUUUAUAAUAGUGUCAAUCUGUUGGGUAACCUGUUCCAAAAGUAUCGGAGCCAAAAUCCAAAAUGCUGGGGCCAGGCCAUUGAUGGCCUUAAAAACAAAAUCUGAAACUCGGCUAGAAAGCAAAUAAGCAUAUUUAUUAUCGUUAUUUAUAUUAUUAUUAAGUUAUGAAUCCCUACAGGAUAUUGCAGUGUUACAGUAGCCAAGUCAAUCAAUAAAUCACAAAAAAUAGAUAAAUACUGGUAGGUAGGUGUGACACUAUAUACAAU